rnacentral:rRNA from 1 species
UACGUAGGGUGCGAGCGUUGUCCGGAAUUAUUGGGCGUAAAGAGCUUGUAGGCGGUCUGUCGCGUCUGCUGUGAAAAUCCGGGGCUCAACCCCGGACUUGCAGUGGGUACGGGCAGACUAGAGUGUGGUAGGGGCGACUGGAAUUCCUGGUGUAGCGGUGAAAUGCGCAGAUAUCAGGAGGAACACCGAUGGCGAAGGCAGGUCUCUGGGCCACUACUGACGCUGAGAAGCGAAAGCAUGGGGAGCGAACAGG